rnacentral:lncRNA from 1 species
UCUACAUUUAAGUACAAAUCUAAAUUGUAUUGCUCUGUUAUACAUUUAAGGCACAAUAUUUCCUAUUGUUGUUAGCUAGAUCAUUUUCAUGUUCUUAUAAACAUUGGGCUAGAGUCCUGAUGUACACCACUUGCUCUUGAAUGAAAAAUGGGUUUAUAGGAUAUCGGUCACUUAUCAAGAGACAAAAGAGCAAGCAGCGUACAUUGGUGUGAUUAAUAGGACUCUAGCCCAAUGUUACAAGUAUAUAAAAAUGAUCUAGCUAAGGCCAAAUUAAGAAUGGCUCUAGUGGUGCAUGCAUACAGUGCUGAUCUUACUGUACAUUGGGGCCAAGCUAGAAUCAUAAAGCCAGUAAAUGCUACUUCCCAGGCUUUGACUACUGAAACAAUAGAAAUUCUAAAGAGACAAGAAAUAGAACAGCUACUCAAUGAACACCCAGAAACAAUAGAAAUUCUAAAGAGACAAGAAAUAGAACAGCUACUCAAUGAACACCCAGGGACCCAAGUACC